UACGGAGGGGACUAGCGUUGUCCGGAUUUAUUGGGCGUAAAGCGAGCGCAGGCGGUUCUUUAAGUCUGAUGUGAAAGCCCCCGGCUCAACCGGGGAGGGCCAUUGGAAACUGGGGAACUUGAGUGCAGAAGAGGAGGGUGGAAUUCCAUGUGUAGCGGUGAAAUGCGUAGAUAUAUGGAGGAACACCAGUGGCGAAGGCGACUCUUUGGCCUAUAACUGACGCUGAGGCGCGAAAGCGUGGGGAGCAAACAGG
rnacentral:misc_RNA from 1 species